UACGAAGGGUGCAAGCGUUACUCGGAAUUACUGGGCGUAAAGCGUGCGUAGGUGGUUUGUUAAGUCUGUUGUGAAAGCCCCGGGCUCAACCUGGGAAUGGCAAUGGAUACUGGCAAGCUAGAGUGCGGUAGAGGGUAGUGGAAUUCCCGGUGUAGCGGUGAAAUGCGUAGAGAUCGGGAGGAACACCAGUGGCGAAGGCGGCUACCUGGACCAGCACUGACACUGAGGCACCGAAAGCGUGGGGAGCAAACAG
rnacentral:rRNA from 1 species